GUUUCAGUCUCUGAUAUUUCAAUUUCACCUAAAAAGUCCCUAAACUCUCCAAUUUCACCCAAUUAGUCCUUGCCGUCAAUUAUCCGUCAAAAUCUCCGUUAAAUUGCUGACGUGACAUUUUUUACACUGUGAAAUGUCUAUUAUACCCUCACUCUUUUUUUCUUUUAUAUUUAUUUUUUCCUAUCUUUCUAUUUUCUUUUUCCUCCUCUUCUCAUUCUGAAUCGGUAAGCAGAGCAUUUUUUUUUUUUUAAAACCUUUUCUUCCAGCUCUCCCUUCCUCCUUUAACCAUUGUCAACAACCACCCACCACCACCAUCACAACCCUCAUUCUUCUCGCCGGCGCUUCUGCCCCACCAUCGUGGAUCUCCGGCGGCGGCGAUGAACGCGUAAGAGGCCUGACGGCGACCAGCGAUCGUAGGAAAGCCCAAUCUUACUGUAGACGGUGCCCAAAUUGAAGAGAACGGCGGUCUUCUGAAGAUGGAUGUUCUGUUGCGAGGUAUUCUGCUUGUUCUUGAAGGUGUCGUGCCAGAAGAAGGUGACGGUGUUGAUGUGGUCCUUGUCAAGCGAGACUGGGAAGCGCGUCUCGACGAGGCAGAGGGCUUUGUACUAAUUUUGGAGGAGGUCGCGGCGGGCCGGGAGGGGCGAUCGGGUUGGCGCUCCAAGUCGGAGCGGAGCUGCUUGAGGGUUUAGAGGUUUCAAGGUUCUGGGCUUCGCGCUUGGAGUAAUUGAAGGCGAGGUCGUCUUCCAUUUUUCCCAGCUCCCUGUCCUAGCCCAGAGCGAUCUGGUCCGACCCGAAAGUCAUUAACCCAUACGAGCUCAUGGCGGCCUCGACGCCGAAACCCUCCACCUCUGAUUCAAUCUCCGCUUCACCUUCUCAUAUCUAUCACGAUAUAUUGUUGGAUGCGUCUUUAAGAGUACAUUAGAUACAGUGGUGGGUGUUCUUUUUGUUUCUAUUCAGAUGGCUGUAUCGAAAUCGAGAAUGCCGAUCCAAUGGGCAUUGCUGGUUUUGGUUCUGUUUGUGUACGCCUGUGAUGGGUUUUAUCUUCCUGGAAGCUACAUGCAUACGUAUUCCCAAGGGGAACUAAUCUUUACCAAAGUUAAUUCCUUGACUUC